GCUGCUAUGGCUCAGUCGGUAGAGCACGUCCUUGGUAAGGACGGGGUCACCGGUUCAAAUCCGGUUAGCAGCUCCA
rnacentral:tRNA from 2 species